CAACCCCACGUUUCUUUGUUGAGCUGUGUCUUGAAGGCAAAAGAGAAAAAAAAAUAUUCUACACUAGUCUUUUCUGUUUCUAGUUGAGCUGCGUGCGUGAAUGCUUACUUUCUUUUGUUUGUUUAUGAUGAUUUCACUUAACUUUAAAGACAUAUUUGCACAAAACCUUUGUUUAAAGAUCUGCAGCUUUUGCACUAUUUUUUAAUAUAAAUAUGUCAGUGCUUGUUUGAUGGAAACUUCUAUCCACGUGUGUCAAGACUUUUAAGGGAGAAAUGUCGGAAUAUCCCGGUCGACUUCAGGCAGAGCGUGGGCUCCACGCUGGGGCUGGAGAGAGGCUCCCCAGGGCUGACCUCCUGCA
rnacentral:lncRNA from 1 species